rnacentral:lncRNA from 1 species
GGCUAUGACAUUCUUCACCCCUAAAAAAAAAUUUUAUCCUCAAAAUUUUUCAUACCUGUAGUCUCGAAGAGCUGGAGAUAUUUUUGCUUCAUUUCUUCCUCUAGCUCCCAAGUAGCUUCUCUUUCUGAAUGUCGACUCCACUGUACCUUGACAUAAGGAAUGUUGCGACGUCUCAGCACCUGUUCUUUACGGUCUACGAUCCGUAUCGGAUAUUCUUCAUAUGAUAGAUCUUUUCUGGCUUGUACUGGUUCAAGUUCCACGAUGUGACUUGGGUCUGGUAAAUAUUUCUUUAACAUAAAAAUAUGAAAAACAUUAUGUACUCCUGCAAGUGAAGGGGGUAAGGCAAGUCGAUAAGCCACCUCACCAAUUCUUUCCAAAAUCUCAAACGGACCCACAUAUCUAGGAUUCAAUUUGCCACGAAUGUCAAAUCUUGAG